rnacentral:rRNA from 1 species
AUUGAACGCUGGCGGCAGGCCUAACACAUGCAAGUCGAGCGGAUGAAGGGAGCUUGCUCCUGGAUUCAGCGGCGGACGGGUGAGUAAUGCCUAGGAAUCUGCUUGGUAGUGGGGGAUAACGUCUGGAAACGGGCGCUAAUACCGCAUACGUCCUGAGGGAGAAAGUGGGGGAGCUUUGGACCUCAUGCUAUCAGAUGAGCCUAGGCCGGAUUAGCUAGUUGGUGGGGUAACGGCCUACCAAGGGGACGAUCCGUAACUGGUCUGAGAGGGGGAACAGUCACUCUGGAACUGAGACGCGGUCCAGAGACCUACAGGAGGCAGCAGUGGCGAAUGUUGGACAAAGGGCGAAAGCCUGAACCAUCCAUGGCACGUGUGUGCAGAAAGUCUGCGGAUUGUAAGGCACUUUAAGGUGGGAAAAAGGGCAUUAAGUUAAUACCUGGCUGUUUGGACGUUACCAACAGAGAAGGCACCGGCUAACUACGU